GAAACCGCAUGGUUUUGAUUUGAAAGGCGCUUUCGGGUGUCGCUGAUGGAUGGACCCGCGGUGCAUUAGCUAGUUGGUGAGGUAACGGCUCACCAAGGCCACGAUGCAUAGCCGACCUGAGAGGGUGAUCGGCCACAUUGGGACUGAGACACGGCCCAAACUCCUACGGGAGGCAGCAGUAGGGAAUCUUCGGCAAUGGACGAAAGUCUGACCGAGCAACGCCGCGUGAGUGAAGAAGGUUUUCGGAUCGUAAAACUCUGUUGUUAGAGAAGAACAAGGAUGAGAGUAACUGUUCGGACCUUGACGGUAUCUAACCAGAAAGCCACGGCUAACUACGUGCCAGCAGCCGCGGUAAUACGUAGGUGGCAAGCGUUGUCCGGAUUUAUUGGGCGUAAAGCGAGCGCAGGCGGUUUCUUAAGUCUGAUGUGAAAGCCCCGGCUCAACCGGGGAGGGUCAUUGGAAACGGGAGACUUGAGUGCAGAAGAGGAGAGUGGAAUUCCAUGUGUAGCGGUGAAAUGCGAAGAUAUAUGGAGGAACACCAGUGGCGAAG
rnacentral:rRNA from 1 species